rnacentral:rRNA from 1 species
GACAGAGGGUGCAAACGUUGCUCGGAAUCACUGGGCGUAAAGAGCGUGUAGGCGGCCAGGUAGGUCGGUUGUGAAAACUGGAGGCUCAACCUUCAGAGGUCGACCGAAACCAUCUGGCUAGAGUCCGGGAGAGGAGAGUGGAAUUCCUGGUGUAGCGGUGAAAUGCGCAGAUAUCAGGAAGAACACCCGUGGCGAAAGCGGCUCUCUGGAACGGUACUGACGCUGAGACGCGAAAGCGUGGGGAGCGAACAGG